rnacentral:rRNA from 1 species
CAGCACCUCAAGUGGUCAGGAUGAUUAUUGGGCCUAAAGCAUCCGUAGCCGGCGCUGUAAGUUUUCGGUUAAAUCUGUACGCUCAACGUACAGGCUGCCGGGAAUACUGCAGCGCUAGGGAGUGGGAGAGGUAGACGGUACUCGGUAGGAAGGGGUAAAAUCCUUUGAUCUAUUGAUGACCACCUGUGGCGAAGGCAGUCUACCAGAACACGUCCGACGGUGAGGGAUGAAAGCUGGGGGAGCAAACCGGAUUAGAUACCCCAGUAGUCC